rnacentral:rRNA from 1 species
UACGGAGGGUGCAAGCGUUAAUCGGAAUUACUGGGCGUAAAGCGUGCGCAGGCGGUUUUGUAAGUCUGACGUGAAAUCCCCGGGCUCAACCUGGGAAUUGCGUUGGAGACCGCAAGGCUAGAAUCUGGCAGAGGGGGGUAGAAUUCCACGUGUAGCAGUGAAAUGCGUAGAGAUGUGGAGGAACACCGAUGGCGAAGGCAGCCCCCUGGGUCAAGAUUGACGCUCAUGCACGAAAGCGUGGGGAGCAAACAGG